ACAGGAUGAUAUAACCCCAGUGGAACAUGUUAGGUUGGAGCAGGGGUGUACCAGAGACAGGAUGAUAUAACCCCAGUGGAACAUGUUAGGUUGGAGCAGGGGUGUACUAGAGACAGGAUGAUAUAACCCCAGUGGAACAUGUUAGGUUGGAGCAGGGGUGUACCAGAGACAGGAUGAUAUAACCCCAGUGGAACAUGUUAGGUUGGAGCAGGGGUGUACUAGAGACAGGAUGAUAUAACCCCAGUGGAACAUGUUAGGUUGGAGCAGGGGUGUACUAGAGACAGGAUGAUAUAACCCCAGUGGAACAUGUUAGGUUGGAGCAGGGGUGUACCAGAGACAGGAUGAUAUAACCCCAGUGGAACAUGUUAGGUUGGAGCAGGGGUGUACUAGAGACAGGAUGAUAUAACCCCAGUGGAACAUGUUAGGUUGGAGCAGGGGUGUACUAGAGACAGGAUGAUAUAACCCCAGUGGAACAUGUUAGGUUGGAGCAGGGGUGUACUAGAGACAGGAUGAUAUAACCCCAGUGGAACAUGUUAGGUUGGAGCAGGGGUGUACUAGAGACAGGAUGAUAUAACCCCAGUGGAACAUGUUAGGUUGGAGCAGGGGUGUACCAGAGACAGGAUGAUAUAACCCCAGUGGAACAUGUUAGGUUGGAGCAGGGGUGUACUAGAGACAGGAUGAUAUAACCCCAGUGGAACAUGUUAGGUUGGAGCAGGGGUGUACCAGAGACAGGAUGAUAUAACCCCAGUGGAACAUGUUAGGUUGGAGCAGGGGUGUACUAGAGACAGGAUGAUAUAACCCCAGUGGAACAUGUUAGGUUGGAGCAGGGGUGGGUGUACUAGAGACAGGAUGAUAUAACCCCAGUGGAUAUUUGACUGGUGAUUUGUAUCUAACACAUUGAUACAACCCCCCCCUCCCCCAUCACUUUCCUCACAGCUGCAACCAUCUUAUCAGCCCAACUGUUGAAAGAAAACACAUUGAGAUCAUUUGUGAUGAUAGGAGAUCAACUUCAUGAUUUAGUUUUGUUUGUCUUCCUUAAGAACAAAGAGCUAUUAGAAUGAGGAUUAAACAUACAAGAUGAUUCAUUUUUAACACUGCAUUUGAAGGGUACGUGAAUAAGUACUUCAUAACAUAUUCCUAAGCAUACAUAACGCAUUCAUAAGAAGGACAUAAGCGGUUCAUAAAUGUUCUUGGUUUUUGUAGUCCGGUUUACUCUGCAGGCCUAGCGAGCCAACAGUCAAUAGUGUUACUUUCUUCCUGAGCCGGUAUGCUAGCAGAGCCUAUAAGCAAACAGGAAUAUUAGCAUCAGCAUCGCUGUCAACAGGUGUAUUAGCAUAGCUGUCAACACAACAGUUGUUUUGUUUGCCUGCUGGUUGCAUUGACCACACAAAUGGAAGAACAAGUGUCUUUCUUUCUUUCUUUACUCUAAUUAAUGUCAUUGUUAGGCAGUUUUACGCAUGAGUUAAUUAUUCUUUUGUUUGACUGUGGG